rnacentral:rRNA from 1 species
ACACUGUUCAUGGGUUACCGCGGCUGCUGGCACGGAGUUAGCCGGUGCUUCUUCUGUGAGUGAUGUCCUUCCUGCCGGCUAUUAACCCGCAGGCCUUCUUCCUCACUGAAAGUGCUUUACAACCCGAAGGCCUUCUUCACACACGCGGCAUGGCUGGAUCAGGGUUGCCCCCAUUGUCCAAUAUUCCCCACUGCUGCCUCCCGUAGGAGUCUGGGCCGUGUCUCAGUCCCAGUGUGGCUGAUCAUCCUCUCAGACCAGCUACGGAUCGUCGCCUUGGUGAGCCGUUACCUCACCAACCAGCUAAUCCGACAUACGGCUCAUCCGAUAGCGCGAGGCCCGAAGGUCCCCCGCUUUCCCCCGUAGGGCGUAUGCGGUAUUAGCCUGGGUUUCCCCAGGUUAUCCCCACUACCGGGCAGAUUCCUAUGCAUUACUCACCCGUCCGCCGCUCGCCACCAGGGAGCAAGCUCCCCGGUGCUGCCGCUCGACUUGCAUGUGUUAGGCCUGCCGCCAGCGUUCAAU